CCUACGGGGGGCUGCAGUGGGGAAUAUUGCGCAAUGGAGGAAACUCUGACGCAGCGACGCCGCGUGCGGGAUGACGGCCUUCGGGUUGUAAACCGCUUUCAGCAGGGAAUAAGCGAAAGUGAAGGUACCUGCAGAAGAAGCACCGGCUAACUAUGUGCCAGCAGCCGCGGUAAUACAUAGGGUGCAAGCGUUGUCCGGAAUUAUUGGGCGUAAAGAGCUCGUAGGUGGUCGAUCACGUCGGAUGUGAAAAUCUGAGGCUUAACCUCAGACCUGCAUUCGAUACGGGUUGACUAGAGUGUGGUAGGGGAAACUGGAAUUCCUGGUGUAGCGGUGGAAUGCGCAGAUAUCAGGAGGAACACCGAUGGCGAAGGCAGGUUUCUGGGCCAUAACUGACACUGAGGAGCGAAAGCAUGGGGAGCGAACAGGAUUAGAUACCCGUGUAGUC
rnacentral:rRNA from 1 species